CGUUUCUAAACAUACUCCACGUGUCAAAACGAGGACCAGUGCAGAUAAAUAUCCCCUCCACUGUCCCUUCAAAUCUUGAGCUGUUACAGUAACCGCAAGCUCCAACCAGAGCAGAGGAAGAAGAAGAAGAAGAGCCACGAUGAGUGGCAGAGCUCUUGUUUUCUCUUUCUCUCCUCCUUCACCCUCUUCCCCUUCACGCAGAACCACCCACUUCAACCAUGCAACUUCCACCACCUCCUCCAGUACUUCACUGUUCCCUUUACACUUGCGGAGCUGCCUCGUCUUCCGUGUUACCGGCAGAAGGGGCGGUGGUGGAAAGGUGUGGGCGGAUGUCAAGUCGGAGAAGCACGCGCACGAAUCAUCCAGCUUGCAUGAGGAUGUUGCCCUUGAGAAGAAGGUCCCUGGUUUGGAUGAUGUGGAGGAGCUGGAAGAAGUUGCAGCAGCGUGGUGGCAAGUGUUUCCUAAGAGAUGGGUCAUCGUCAUCCUCUGCUUCUCUGCGUUUCUCCUUUGUAACAUGGACAGAGUAAAUAUGAGCAUUGCUAUACUUCCUAUGUCAGCAGAGUACAACUGGAGCCCCAGCACUGUCGGUUUAAUACAGUCUUCAUUCUUUUGGGGAUACCUCCUCACUCAGAUUGCUGGUGGAGUAUGGGCAGACAAAGUAGGGGGAAAGCAGGUAUUAGGAUUUGGAGUGGUUUGGUGGUCUGUUGCGACUAUUCUCACUCCUGUAGCUGCCAAACUUGGGUUGCCUUUCCUACUAGUUGCUCGUGCGCUAAUGGGGAUUGGUGAGGGUGUUGCUAUGCCAGCCAUGAAUAAUAUUCUAUCUAAAUGGGUUCCUGUGGCAGAGAGAAGUAGAUCACUAGCGCUUGUCUACAGUGGCAUGUACCUAGGAUCAGUUACUGGACUGGCCUUUUCACCCUUCCUAAUUCAUCAGUUUGGAUGGCCAUCAGUAUUUUACUCCUUUGGUUCUCUAGGGACGGUUUGGUUUUCUGUGUGGCUUAGUAAGGCACAUAGUUCACCUCUUGAAGAUCCUGAAUUGCGGCCUGAAGAAAAGAAGUUGAUUCCUACCAAUAGUUUUUCCAAGGAACCAUUGAAAGAAAUACCUUGGGGAUUAAUCUUGUCAAAAGCACCUGUCUGGGCCCUGAUAGUGUCCCAUUUUUGCCAUAACUGGGGAACUUUCAUUCUUCUAACAUGGAUGCCAACAUACUAUAAUCAAGUUUUGAAGUUCAACCUUACAGAAUCGGGGCUGUUUUGUGUUUUACCGUGGUUUACAAUGGCACUUUCUGCAAAUCUUGGAGGUUGGAUUGCAGACACUCUUGUCAGCAAAGGUGUAUCAGUUACAACGGUCCGCAAGAUUAUGCAAACAGUUGGGUUUCUUGGCCCUGCUUUCUUCUUAACUCAAUUGAGCCACAUUCAUUCUCCUGUAAUGGCUGUUUUGUGUAUGACUUGCAGUCAGGGAACUGAUGCAUUCUCACAGUCUGGAUUGUAUUCAAACCAUCAAGAUAUAGCCCCUCGAUAUUCUGUGAGUGGAAUCAUUGUACCUAUAAUUUUCGGCAACAUGGACUCUAUAUUUGAUUUGUGGAAUAAGAAUGCGACAAAUAUUUUUAUUAUAUGGGAUAUUGCUUGGUCUAUCUAAUACUGCUGGAGUGCUGGCUGGUGUCCUUGGAACUGCAGCAACAGGUUACAUUCUGCAGCAUGGCUCCUGGGAUGAUGUUUUCAAGGUUUCAGUAGGGCUAUAUUUGGUUGGAACUGUGGUGUGGAACCUUUUUUCAACUGGUGAAAGGAUCUUGGAAUAAUUCACUGUCACUGAUCAUUGGAACUUGGCUUAUGUAUAGAAAAACUUUGAGUAGUUUCCCACAGAAGAAGAAGGACAAGGAGAAGAAAAGAAGGUUUAACCACGAAGCAACUCAAUUUACUUGGAACUUCCAAAAUGGUAAUUUUUUGUGGAUAGAGAGAGCAUUGAACAUUGAUUAGAGGGAUGACAUGUGCCCUUGUCCUUGAAAGGUGAAUUGGCAUAAUUUAAUCCCUGAUGUUUUACCAAGGGCUGCUCUCAUCUUUCUGUUUUUGGUGGGAAUCUAGUUCAUGAUCUUUGCUCAAUUAAUUUAGCAUCAUACAUACGUGUAAAUAUGAAUUCCAAAAUUUCCAAACCAACACAUCAAUUUUGUGACAAGUAAUGUAAUUUAUGCAGUAUCAUUCAUGAAGGUUCUUGUCUUUCCAA